UGUGUACCAAUAUUCAUGAUCACUUCAUGAUAUUUAUACCCUUUCAUACGUACGUUCGGUUCUGGUUUAUUCAUGGCUGUGUUCGUUGUAUUUGAAACCCCGCAAUGGGAAUAAAUGUACUGGGGAACGUUGUAAGAAAUGUUGCGCACGACUGUUUGCUACUUAAGUGCAGAAUGAUUUGGAUACUCCUCUGACAUUUGAAACAAAUACAACACUCUUCAACUUGAAUCAUAUCUUUCAAAAUGAAAAGAGCAUGCACGGACUUAAUAUCAAGAUGUUUACUGAUGUGUGUGCCAUACAAGUCAUGCUGACUGCAGAACCUUCCUGAUGCUAGAAAUGUGGAUGCCUUGCAAACUAGAAUGGAAUGGGGCAGUUUGCAGAUAUCCACCACACAUCAACAAGAAUGGAAAUACAAUCAGGUUCCACGCUAUGUGUAUAGGAUAUGGACAUUUUCUGAGAUGAUUCAUAACAUGGAGAACUGUAUGUAAAGGAAGACAAGCACAAGAAAUUACCAACAUAGCAUAACAUUAAUAACAACAUUCAAAAGCAAUAUUAACAUGUGGCAUUUUGUAGAUUACAGGUUGCAGACAUAACAGAACAAUUGGAUAACGAAUAUAAAAAACAAUCUGCUGCAAUAAAACACAUGGAGAGAAACAUAUAGUUCUAAACAAGUGGACGACACCCCUUGUGAGGUGGAAUAGAAUUUCACAAAAUUGGGUGGCGGUCCUGUUUACCAAAUGAGGCCUGGCAUUGUCAUGGAGGAGAACCACAUCGUCCACGAGAAUCCCUGGGCAUGAUUGCAGUCAUUUAGAUGGGAGAUUAUGGAGCAUGCACCGUAUAGUCCAGACCUCGCCCACAGUGAUUACCACGUGUUCGGUCCACUGAAGAAGUUACUGGCAGGCCAGAGGUUCAUUUCUGAUGACAACGCGAAAACCGCUGUCCGGCGGUGGUUCCGUGCUCAACCAGCCAAAUACUACAACAGCGGCAUCUCCAAACUAGUGGUGCGAUGGGACAAAUGCCUGAACCGGAGUGGUGACUAUGUGGAA